CGGAGCAAAUCUCGAAAAGCCGUCCCAGUUCGGAUUGCAGGCUGCAACCCGCCUGCAUGAAGUUGGAAUCGCUAGUAAUCGCGGAUCAGCAUGCCGCGGUGAAUACGUUCCCGGGCCUUGUACACACCGCCCGUCACACCAUGAGAGUCGGGAACACCCGAAGUCCGUAGCCUAACCGCAAGGGGGGCGCGGCCGAAGGUGGGUUCGAUAAUUGGGGUGAAGUCGUAACAAGGUAUC
rnacentral:rRNA from 1 species